GCAUGGGUUUGGAUUUAUGGCAGGCCUGUCCCCCUGGGCCUCUCACAGUGUCCCAUGCCAAAGCAAACUGUGGCCCUGACCCAUUGCCUGGCCUCUCUUUCCAUAGGCUGCUGGCACUGAAGUGGGUUGUACAGUG
rnacentral:snoRNA from 1 species